rnacentral:rRNA from 1 species
UACGAAGGGGGCUAGCGUUGUUCGGAAUUACUGGGCGUAAAGGGCGCGUAGGCGGCUUUGCUAGUCGGGCGUGAAAUGCCUGGGCUUAACCCGGGAAUUGCGUUCGAUACUUCGAGGCUAGAGUGUGGGAGAGGUUGGUGGAAUUCCCAGUGUAGAGGUGAAAUUCGUAGAUAUUGGGAAGAACACCGGUGGCGAAGGCGGCCAACUGGACCACAACUGACGCUGAGGCACGAAAGCGUGGGGAGCAAACAGG